rnacentral:rRNA from 1 species
CCUACGGGAGGCAGCAGUGAGGCAUAUUGGUCCAUGGCCGUAAGGCUGAACCAGCCAAGUAGCGUGAGGGAAGACUGCCCUAUGGGUUGUAAACCUCUUUUAUGCGGGGAUAAAGGUGUCCACGUGUGGAUGUUUGCAUGUACCUCAUGAAUCAGGACCGGCUAAUUCCGUGCCAGCAGCCGCGGUAAUACGGAGGGUCCGGGCGUUAUCCGGAUUUAUUGGGUUUAAAGGGAGCGUAGGCGGAAUGCCAAGUCAGCGGUAAAAUCGCGGGGCUCAACCUCGCUCCGCCAUUGAAACUGGCGCUCUUGAGUGGAAGAGAAGUAUGCGGAAUGCGUGGUGUAGCGGUGAAAUGCAUAGAUAUCACGCAGAACCCCGAUUGCGAAGGCAGCAUGCCGGCUUCCGACUGACGCUGAAGCACGAAAGCGUGGGGAUCGAACAGGAUUAGAUACCCGGGUAGUC